CUAUUUCUUUCUUAACUUCCAUAUUCUUUGGGUCUUUUGGGAGCUCAUAUUCAAAUUUUUUAAUCCUUUCUUGAAAGGAAAGGAUUCG